GUACUUGCUUCGGCAGUACAUAUACUAAAAUUGGAACGAUACAGAGAAGAUUAGCAUGGCCCCUGCGCAAAAGCCGGGGAAGAAUUUUCUCUGUUC